rnacentral:rRNA from 1 species
UACGUAGGGGGCAAGCGUUGUCCGGAAUUAUUGGGCGUAAAGAGCGCGUAGGCGGUCCGGUAAGUCGGUUGUGAAAGUCGGGGGCUCAACCCUCGGAUGCCGAUCGAUACUGUUGGGCUAGAGUCCGGAAGAGGCGAGUGGAAUUCCUGGUGUAGCGGUGAAAUGCGCAGAUAUCAGGAGGAACACCAAUGGCGAAGGCAGCUCGCUGGGACGGUACUGACGCUGAGGCGCGAAAGCGUGGGGAGCAAACAGG